UGAGUGCGAGCUGCUACGGCAGCGAAGUUGGUGAUGUCAUGCUUCCAAGAAAAGCCCUAUACCCGUUAAGGCAUCAUGGCCUGUACCCGAAACCGACACAGGUGGGGUGGUAGAGAAUACCGAGGGGCGCGAGGUAACUCUCUCUAAGGAACUCGGCAAAAUGGCCCCGUAACUUCGGGAGAAGGGGUGCCACCGCAAGGUGGUCGCAGUGAAGAGGCCCAGGCGACUGUUUACCAAAAACACAGGUCUCCGCUAAGUCGCAAGACGAUGUAUGGGGGCUGACGCCUGCCCGGUGCCGGAAGGUUAAGGAAGCUGGUCAGCGCAAGCGAAGCUAGCGACUGAAGCCCCGGUGAACGGCGGCCGUAACUAUAACGGUCCUAAGGUAGCGAAAUUCCUUGUCGGGUAAGUUCCGACCCGCACGAAAGGCGUAACGAUCUGGGCGCUGUCUCGGAGAGAGGCUCGGCGAAAUAGAAUUGUCUGUGAAGAUGCGGACUACGUGCACCCGGACAGAAAGACCCUAUGAAGCUUUACUGUAGCUUGGUAUUGUGCCCGGGCUCGCAAUGCGCAGGAUAGGUGGGAGGCUUUGAUCAUCGGCUUGCGGGUCGAUGUGAGCCAACGGUGAGAUACCACUCUUUGCGAGCUAGGGUUCUAACGGCCACCCGUCAUCCGGGGGCCGGACAGUACCUGGUGGGCAGUUUGACUGGGGCGGUCGCCUCCUAAAAGGUAACGGAGGCGCGCAAAGGUUUGCUCAGGCUGGUUGGAAAUCAGCCGACGAGUGUAAAAGCAGAAGCAAGCUUGACUGUGAGACCAACAAGUCGAACAGGGAGGAAACUCGGCUUUAGUGAUCCGACGGUUCUGAGUGGAAGGGCCGUCGCUCAACGGAUAAAAGUUACUCUAAGGAUAACAGGCUGAUCUCCCCCAAGAGUUCACAUCGACGGGGAGGUUUGGCACCUCGAUGUCGGCUCAUCGCAACCUGGGGCUGAAGUCGGUCCCAAGGGUUGGGCUGUUCGCCCAUUAAAGCGGUACGCGAGCUGGGUUCAGAACGUCGUGAGACAGUUCGGUCCAUAUCCGGUGCACGCGCAGGAAUAUUGAGAGGAUUUCUCCCUAGUACGAGAGGACCGGGAGGAACGCACCUCUGGUGUACCAGUUAUCGUGCCAACGGUAAACGCUGGGUAGCCAUGUGCGGAGUGGAUAACCGCUGAAAGCAUCUAAGUGGGAAGCCCACCUCAAGAUGAGUAUUCCCAUGGCGUAAGCCAGUAAGGUCACGGGAAGAACACCCGUUGAUAGGCUCUAUGUGGAAGCGCAGUAAUGCGUGAAGCAGAGGAGUACUAAUAGACCGAGGGCCU
rnacentral:rRNA from 1 species